CCGUUAAAAUGUAUUUUAUUAUUUUUUAUUUGUAUUACUUUUUCUAUUAAUCCAGUUCCUCCGCCAGAAUAUAGUCCCUCGCGUACCAGAAGGUUGUUAUGCAACAAAAUAACGAUCCACUAUCGGUGCUGCGCAGUGAUAUCCUGCACAGGUAUUGACCAAUCACAGACCGGAACUAUUCGUUGCUGUUAUAUCACUUUUUCCAACAAAUAAUUAGUUAAGAUUAGCCGACCAAAAAAGUGUCAGGUAAAAAGAUUAUGUUACUGAUUUCAGGGAUACUCCUGUAACUUGUAGCUUAAUCAGUGCCAGUUUACAUUUCAGAAAUAAUUUACGUAGCACAGCAGAAAGAAUGAGUUUAGGAAGGCACGAGGUGUGAUGGAACGCACAGCGUGAUGGAAAACAGGGCGAGAAGUCGAAUGUCAGAGGUUACAGGAUCUCACCCUCCUAUUGGCUCAACCCUGAUUCUGAUGAUGAUGUCACAGGCACAGCAAGUAAUGAGUGAAAGGAGACGCUGUUGUUCAUAUAGAGAUCAUCUCACAACCGGAUCCAGCAAAACCCAGACCUCAGUGUCUUGGCAGGCAGAUUUUUCCAGUGGCUCUGUAACUUGACAAGGAAAGAUCCAGAGUUCCAGUGUGACACAAAAACAACUGCAACUUACUUCGGCUGCCUGAUGCUUUUAUAUAUUAGAAGGGCUUUCCUCUGUGAAUCCUUAUCGCUUGGCAACAGAAGCUGUUAGGCUUGAGGGUGAUUGGAGGAGAGGAACGCAAGGUAAAGCGUGACUUUCAAGAAGCAGUGAAUGAGUCCGACUCCCCACCUUCCAUCAGUCAGAACGGAUUGGGAGAACAGCGGACCAGAAAAGGGAAAAACGCAAAGUGUUCAAAUAAACUCUACAGGGUAUCCUUUUCUCCUAGCUCAUGUGUCCCCAAAAACACCCCAGGCCACCAAAAUGUAGGUAAAAGGCAGAAAUUACGGUUGAGGUGGUAAAAAUAAUCCGUCCUGACACUUACAAGCUCCCACAGAGAUUUGAAGCUCUCCGCUUAUAAAAUAUUGAACAGCUACUAACACAAUUCUGUCUCCCAGAGCUGUCUGCAAUUCAUCUCAGAGAAAAAAAGCUCAAUAGGAAGUGCAAAGACUGCAGGGAAUGAUAAAAUGUCUACUUGUUCUCACCAGCAGAGGUCAAUGUUUUCAAAGCAUUCACAUGUGAUGGAUCUGCAGCAGCUUGGUUUGAAUGGAUAUAUGAAUGUGUGUUAUUUGCAUAAACCAGUC